rnacentral:rRNA from 1 species
GAUGAACGCUGGCAGCGUGCCUAAUACAUGCAAGUCGAGCGAACAGACGAGGAGCUUGCUCCUCUGACGUUAGCGGCGGACGGGUGAGUAACACGUGGAUAACCUACCUAUAAGACUGGGAUAACUUCGGGAAACCGGAGCUAAUACCGGAUAAUAUAUUGAACCGCAUGGUUCAAUAGUGAAAGACGGUUUUGCUGUCACUUAUAGAUGGAUCCGCGCCGCAUUAGCUAGUUGGUAAGGUAACGGCUUACCAAGGCAACGAUGCGUAGCCGAUCUGAGAGGAUGAUCGGCCACACUGGAACUGAGACACGGUCCAGACUCCUACGGGAGGCAGCAGUAGGGAAUCUUCCGCAAUGGGCGAAAGCUUGACGGAGCAACGCCGCGUGAGUGAUGAAGGUCUUCGGAUCGUAAAACUCUGUUAUUAGGGAAGAACAAAUGUGUAAGUAACUAUGCACGUCUUGACGGUACCUAAUCAGAAAGCCACGGCUAACUACGUG